rnacentral:rRNA from 1 species
UAGGGAAUAUUGGUUAAUGUGCGAAAGCGCGAACCAGCAACGCCGCGUGCGCGAUGAAGGCCUUCGGGUUGUAAAGCGCUUUUUGAGGGGAUGAGGAAGGACAGUACCCUCAGAAUAAGUCUCGGCUAACUACGUGCCAGCAGCCGCGGUAACACGUAGGAGACGAGCGUUAUCCGGAUUUACUGGGCGUAAAGCGCGUGCAGGCGGUUCAGCAAGUUGGAUGUGAAAGCUCCCGGCUUAACUGGGAGAGGUCGUUCAAAACUACUGAACUCGAGAGUGGUAGAGGGAGGUGGAAUUCCGGGUGUAGUGGUGAAAUGCGUAGAUAUCCGGAGGAACACCAGUGGCGAAAGCGGCCUCCUGGACCAUUUCUGACGCUCAGACGCGAAAGCUAGGGUAGCGA